GAACCGUACGAACGUUAUUCGGAAUCACUGGGCUUAAAGGGUGCGUAGGCGGCCCGGAAAGUUGGGUGUGAAAUCCCUCGGCUCAACCGAGGAAUUGCGCCCAAAACUGUCGGGCUAGAGGGAGACAGAGGCGAGCGGAACUUAGGGUGGAGCGGUGAAAUGCGUUGAUAUCCUAAGGAACACCAGUAGCGAAGGCGGCUCGCUGGGUCUCUUCUGACGCUGAGGCACGAAAGCUAGGGGAGCGAACGGGAUUAGAUACCCCGGGUAGUCCUAGCUGUAAACGUUGAGCACUUGGUUGGAGAUCCCCUCCAUAGGUUUCCCAGCCGUAGCGAAAGUGUUAAGUGCUCCGCCUGGGGAGUAUGGUUCGCAAGGCUG
rnacentral:rRNA from 1 species